rnacentral:rRNA from 1 species
CCUACGGGAGGCAGCAGUGGGGAAUAUUGCACAAUGGGGGAAACCCUGAUGCAGCGACGCCGCGUGAGUGAAGAAGGAUCUCGGUACGUAAAGCUCUAUCAGCAGGGAAGAAAAUGACGGUACCUGACGAAGAAGCCGCGGCUAACUACGUGCCAGCAGCCGCGGUAAUACGUAGGGGGCAAGCGUUAUCCGGAUUGACUGGGGUUAAAGGGAGCGUAGACGGCAGCACAAGUCUGGAGUGAAAUCCCGGGGCUUAACCCCGGAACUGCUUUGGAAACUGUGCGGCUGGAGGGCAGGAGGGGUAAGCGGAAUUCCUCGUGUAGCGGUGAAAUGCGUAGAUAUUCGGAGGCACACCGGUGGCGAAGGCGGCUUCCUGGACUGUAACUGACGUUGAGGCUCGAAAGCGUGGGGAGCAAACAGGAUUAGAUACCCUUGUAGUC